CGUCAUGUCAACUGCUACUUCAGUAAUAUUGGGCAGUCACUGAUGGCAGAGAUCUUUCCUGAGCCAACUGGCCACUGAUUUUCAUCUACUAGUCUACAAAAUGACCGAAUGAAAAAUACCGUGGUAAGCCGUGAGAAAUAGCGAAAGUCAUAUAUCCCAAACACCAUUCUGUAGCGAAGCGGAGGGGUUUGGAACGACUGGAAAUACUUCCACCCCAGGAAUUUCCAGGACAUCUGGAAGGAAGAUGUAAGCCUAAUAUAAAGAAUCUAUGACAUAGCAAGGAUUGGUCAUCUUCCUUCACUCUGGCAGAGUCCUACCUGCACAGACCGGCAUCAGCUUUUACACACGAGGAAGCAAGGGGCAAGGGGAAAAACGUGUCAAGAUGCUUCUCCUCACGCUCUCGGCUGCCACCUUACCUUUCGCUCUGAUUGAUAUCCCUUCUAAAUAAAUUGGUAA